UACAGAGACUGCAAGCGUUAUUCGGAUUCACUGGGCGUAAAGGGUGCGCAGGCGGCCGUGUGUGUGAGGCGUGAAAGCCCGAUGCUUAACAUCGGAAUUGCACCUCAAACUACACGGCUAGAGCAUUGGAGAGGGUAGCGGAAUUCACGGUGUAGCAGUGAAAUGCGUAGAUAUCGUGAGGAACACCAGUGGCGAAGGCGACUACCUGGCCUGUUCUUGACGCUGAGGCGCGAAAGCUAGGGGAGCAAACGGG
rnacentral:rRNA from 1 species